UACGAAGGGGGCUAGCGUUGUUCGGAUUUACUGGGCGUAAAGCGCACGUAGGCGGUUUGUUAAGUCAGGGGUGAAAUCCCAGAGCUCAACUCUGGAACUGCCUUUUGAUACUGGCAAGCUAGAGUCCGGAAGAGGUAAGUGGAACUCCUAGUGUAGAGGUGGAAUUCGUAGAUAUUAGGAAGAACACCAGUGGCGAAGGCGGCUUACUGGUCCGGAACUGACGCUGAGGUGCGAAAGCGUGGGGAGCAAACAGG
rnacentral:rRNA from 1 species